GAGUAGCUGAGAUUACAGGGACAUGGAUGAAUCUGGAAAACAUCAUCCUCAGCAAACUGACACAAGAACAGAAAAUGAAACACCGCAUAUUCUCCACUCAUAGAUCCCUUUACCAGAAGUAAUUCUACCAUUGAAGUUGCCUGGAGCAAAAAUCUAAGGAGCAGAGUUGCAGCUGGUUUUUCUGAUUAUUGUAAUUUAGGUAAACAGUCAAUGCUGCCGGAAAUAUAAUUUGUUUUUUGUGUGUUCUUUGAUAAGGUCUUUGUUGAACUAAUUUGCCGUUGCUAUUCCUUUUCUAGAAUUUGGAAAUUAAAA
rnacentral:lncRNA from 1 species